GCCCCACCAUGGGGAGCAGGGGUUCCGCGGCGUCCAGCCCCUCACGGCGGCGAGCAGAGGUCACCACACAUCCCGGCCCCUCACCGUGGCGGGCACGGGCUCCCCACAGCCCGGCCCCUCACCGUCGCGGGCAGAGGGCACCACACCGCCGGCCCCUCGCCGUGGAGCGGCGCCGCUAACAAGAUGGCGGCGGGGGGCCGUGUCUGGGGGUACGGGGAGCCCCGGCCCCAUGGCGGGACAGCGUCAGGGCUGCCGGCACGGUCUGCCCCUGGAGGCCGGACCGCUCCUCGGCACCGGCGAAAAGGAAGCGCUCAGUUGUGCUCCCGGCCGGUUCCGAUGGGAGGUAAACGCUGCCUGCAGUCCCGUUUGGGAGCACUAGAAUGCUCUGACCGCCAGGUGCUGCGGCGGAAGUUUCCUGGGCUCGGUUCGCAGCAGUCCGGGGUACUGCCGCCAUCCCCGGCCGUACCGGCGCUCACGGGACAUGAGUUGUCCGGGCGAGGCCACCCUCCCGCAGAACAGUCCGCCCUGCAGGCACCUGUAUCCCUGCGGCCUUGGGAAGACAUGCUAAUAUGCUUAGAGGACUGAUGUUACGAUCCUGCAGGAGUUGGAAGCCAGAAGUUGCUAACAGAUGGGAGGGUUCCAGCCAUCUGUGCAUGAGGUAAGAGUUUUUGCUUGGCAUCUAGUCUUAAGAAAUGGAGAUAAAAUAAUUUUAUUUCCAUCAGUGGGACGUACUCCUGACUACUCAUGCACUUUUACUACUCAGACCUUAUAUAUUUUUACUUUACUACUGACCUUAUAUAUUGUCCUCUGUUUAUGAAAGUAGAAAAGUUAUGAGAGCUUCUUUGUACUGCAGAGAGGCACAAAUAUGGAAGAAUAGGAGAGUGGCGUUAUUUAAGGGUCAGUACAUUUAUCUUUCCUCACAAUGAAAUUUAACAGCUGAAACAAUAAUUUUUAAUUGAAAUUUUU
rnacentral:lncRNA from 12 species